UGGAAUUUAGUGAUAUGGAUGGAGAUAUUGAUGACACAUACACAUAUACACACACGUUAGAACUAGAGCGGCCAAGAAAAUAGAAAAAAUGCAGAAAUACAGAGAAGUACAAAAAGAAUUUUUCAGAGUUUAAUUCAGAGAAAAUUAUUGCCAGCUUAUAUUCCGUAUCGAAUAUUGCGGCGAUUGAGGAACGACCGAUACGUGGUAGCGGAUGUAAAAGGAUGUUCAGAUAACAUCGCUAUACGGGAACGUAGGAAGCUUUAAAUAUGAAAUCUUAAUGUCUAUCUCAGAAAGGACUAAUCGAACAUAUCAGAAGGGAAAGCCACAAAGUGUGGUUCACCGAUUUUGAUGAGCUUUGGAAUCUUCUUCAUAAAAAAUAAAUAGACAUGUAUCUUGCUGUUUGUCUAGAUACCCACUCGUUUGUGAAGAAAUUGAGGUCAAAUGUCAUGGCGUCGGAUCCAUUUCGGACUAGGGGAUAUAGAGCUUCACAAAUCAAUUAAUUUUCAAUAAUUAACUUAUUUGUAUAUAGCGAAUAAUAAUAAAUUCAUAUUAUGAAAAUAAAAAAAAAAAAAUAGCACGAAGAAUUGAACACGA